GACGAACCGUGCGAACGUUGUUCGGAAUCACUGGGCUUAAAGGGCGCGUAGGCGGGCCGUCAGGCCCGCGGUGAAAUCCCCCGGCUCAACCGGGGAAGUGCCGCGGGGACCGGCGGUCUGGAGUGAGAUAGGGGGCGUGCGGAACUGUGGGUGGAGCGGUGAAAUGCGUUGAUAUCCACAGGAACUCCGGUGGCGAAGGCGGCACGCUGGAU
rnacentral:rRNA from 1 species